rnacentral:rRNA from 1 species
AUGGAGCGCGACCGCGCCGCGCGCCGCGCCGACGUCGACGCCUUCCUCGUCUCCCUCGGCGUCGACCCGGGCGAGCUCGCCGGCCUCGAGCUCCCCGUCACCGUCGACGUCAUGCGGGAGCGCGUCGAGUUCCUCCGCUCCCUCGGCCUCGGCCCCGACGACCUCGCCGCCUACCCGCUCGCCCUCGGCUGCAGCGUCCGCAAGAACAUGGUCCCCGUCCUCGACUACCUCGGCAAGAUCGGCGUCCGCCGCGACGAGCUCCCGCACCUGCUCCGCCGCUACCCGCAGGUGCUCCACGCCAGCAUCGUCGUCGACCUCGCGCCCGUCGUCAAGUACCUCCAGGGGAUGGACGUCAAGCCCGGCGACGUGCCGCGCGUGCUCGAGCGAUACCCGGAGCUCCUCGGCUUCAAGCUCGAGGGCACCAUGAGCACCUCCGUCGCCUACCUCGUCGGCAUCGGCGUCGCCAGGCGGCAGAUCGGCGGCGUCAUCACGCGUUUCCCUGAGGUGCUGGGCAUGCGGGUGGGGAAGAUCAUAAAACCUUUCGUCGAACACCUUCAAGGCAUUGGCCUGCAGAGGCUGGCCGUUGCAAGAAUGAUCGAGAAGAAGCCGUAUGUCCUUGGGUUUGGGUUGGAGGAAAGGGUCAAGCCUAACAUUGAGGCACUUCUGGAGUUUGGGGUCAGGAGGGAGGCGCUGGCAUCCAUUGUGAUACAGUACCCUGAUGUUCUUGGAGUUGAGCUGCGAGAGAAGCUUGUUGAGCAGCAGAGCUUGUUUGAGUCCAGCAUUUUGGUCAGUGGUGAUGAUUUCGGAAGAGUCAUCGAGAGGAUGCCACAAGCCAUUAGCCUUGGGCGAGCUGCGGUUCUAAAGCAUGUCAACUUCCUCACAGGAUGUGGCUUCUUGCUGUCUCAGGUCAGCAAGAUGGUCGUGGGGUGCCCCCAAUUGCUGGCACUGAACAUGGAUAUAAUGAAGAUGAACUUCGAGUACUUUAAGAAUGAAAUGGAGAGGGAUUUGGAGGAGCUGGUUGAGUUCCCGGCAUUCUUUACAUAUGGCCUCGAAUCCACUAUAAGAUAUCGGCAUGGGAUUGUGGCUAAAAAGGGGUUCACAUGCUCUCUCGCAUGGCUGCUCAACUGCUCUGAUGCGAAAUUUGAUGAGCGUAUGAAGUAUGACACAAUUGGUGUUGAAGAAAUGGAGGAUGAUAAUUCCUUCGACAAAGAUAGGUUCGUGGAGCAAGUACAAGAUGAGGAUGAUGAGGAUAUGGAAGAGGAUAGCGAUUAUGAUGAGACUGACGACGAGUUCAUCGAAUGA